UUUAAUGGUAAUCCGGGCGGGCAUAAUGGUUAAAAUAGUCAGAACAACCAGGGUGGUCACAACCAACAGCAGCAACAGUCAGGUUACCAAAGCAACCCAAAGCAGUUGAGUAGUGGGCAGUACCAUGUCUUUACCACUAGCUUGGACAAGCGAGACCGGAAGGUUCAGAGGCGGGCAGUCAAGUCUGUUGAACCGGCCACACCCCGUUAUCUACGUUGGUCUGAACAGCCAAUCAUAUGGAGCAGGGAGGAUCACCCACUCCAGGUCGAUAAUCCGGGUCAGUUGGCUCUGGUGGUGGCGCCUCAGGUGGGAGGUUAUAAGUUCACCAAAGUGCUCAUGGAUGGAGGGAGCAGCAUUAACAUCCUAUAAGGAAUUGACGGGGGCCUGCACAAGCGGUGGAGCAUGUGGUUUAAUUCGAUACAACGCGCAAAACCUUACCAGCCCUUGACAUAUGAACAACAAAACCUGUCCUUAACAGGAUGGUACUGACUUUCAUACAGGUGCUGCAUGGCUGUCGUCAGCUCGUGUCGUGAGAUGUUUGGUCAAGUCCUAUAACGAGCGAAACCCUCGUUUUGUGUUGCUGAGACAUGCGCCUAAGGAGAAAUUGCCACCGAGUGACGUGCCAGCGCUACUACUUGAUUGAGUGCCAGCACGUAGCUGUGCUUUCAGCAAGAAUUUCACCAUUGGGAGCCGGUGCCUUUCGAAGCACUUUCACGUGUGAACCGAAGUCGUCUUGCCCAAGACCCACGGAGACCUACCUAUAGUGACGUCAAAGUACCAGUGAGCAUGGAGGUUUGGUUGAAAUUGGUUACGACGACGUCGAGUUGGCGGCGGAGGAAGACUCGGCAUGAAGGCCAGAAAAUGGUGUGGAACGUAGUGGUAAUAGUACGCGCCCCGCUCCGAAACAAAGAAAAAGGUGCGUGCCGCACUCACGAGGGACUGCCAGUGAGAUACUGGAGGAAGGUGGGGAUGACGUCAAGUCCGCAUGGCCCUUAUGGGCUGGGCCACACACGUGCUACAAUGGCAAUGACAAUGGGAAGCAAGGCUGUAAGGCGGAGCGAAUCCGGAAAGAUUGCCUCAGUUCGGAUUGUUCUCUGCAACUCGGGAACAUGAAGUUGAAAUCGCUAGUAAUCGCGGAUCAGCAUGCCGCGGUGAAUAUGUACCCGGGCCCUGUACACACCGCCCGUCACACCCUGGGAAUUGGUUUCGCCCGAAGCAUCGGACCAAUGAUCACCCAUGACUUCUGUGUACCACUAGUGCCACAAAGGCCUUUGGUGGUCUUAUUGGCGCAUACCACGGUGGGGUCUUCGACUGGGGUGAAGUCGUAACAAGGUAGCCGUAGGGGAACCUGUGGCUG
rnacentral:rRNA from 1 species